GCCAGCCACGAGGGAGCGUCCGCGGCCCGCGCGCCCGCGCGGCGGAGGCGAGAAUCCGCAGUUCAUAAUGGAGCUAACUGUACUGGCUGUCGGAAGGAGGAGAUUCUGAAGAUAGGGAGAUUCAGCUGUCGGUCUUUGAAAUUUCCUGUGGUCUGUUCAACCUGGAUGCAGAGGACAUGGAGCGAUCAAGUACGCAAGAGGUCCAAGCGUGUUUUGGAUGUUCCCCUUGAUAGACUGCAGUAUUUUUCCGGUUAAGACCCUCAGCUGUCCUGCAGAAGAAGGUUAUUCUCUUCUUGGUCCAUCCAGUUUACUUGAAAUGCUUAGUAUUGUAGAGUAUCACCAAACAGUUUCUGUUUUCAUCCAAGCAUAGAAAGAAUAAAAUCAAUUCUAUACGUUGA